UUUAGUUCAAAUCAGUUGUACUGGUCACUUAGUCUGGCCGUGGCUUCAUAUAAAAGAAUCAUAUUGGCAUACCGGAUUAGUUUAUGUUCGGUGGGCGCACUUGUAACACUGGAUAGCAACAUGAAGACUUUAAUAUUUUUCGCAGCCGCCGUUGCCAUGGCGUCAGCCACUGGCGAGGAGAAGCUCCUCAACGAUGGAAACAACGUGUUUACCGCCAACAUGUUUACGGAGGUGGUGAAAGAACAGCCAGGCAAGAGCAUGGUGAUGUCUGCCUUCUCCGUCCUGCAGCCGCUGGCCCAGCUGGCCAUGGCCUCCGUCGGCGAAUCCCACGACCAGAUCCUCAAGGUCAUCGGCCUGCCUAACGACAAUGUGACUAAAAUCGUGUUCCCUAAAGUGUCCGCUCAACUCCGUGCUGUGAAGGGAGUGCAACUGAGCAUGGCCAACAAAAUAUACAUUCCUACCGGCGCUGAGGUCAAGGAAGAUUUUGCCGCUCUCUCAAAGAGUAUUUUUGGGUCGGAAUUCAAGAACAUUGAUUUUACCAAGAAUGUGCCAGCUGCUAAGGAAAUUAACUCAUGGGUGGAGGAUCAAACGAACCACAAAAUCAAGGACUUAGUCAACGCCGACUCCUUAGGAGCUGACACCCGUGCGGUGCUCGUCAACGCUCUGUAUUUCAAGGGACAAUGGGACAAAAAAUUCAACGAGAAACUCACUUCUGAUCAAGACUUCCAUGUAACUAAAGACAAGACAGUUAAAGUGCCGAUGAUGUACAAGAAAGAUGAUUUCAAAUACGCCGAGAGCGAAGAGCUCGAUGCUAAGCUCUUGGAACUGCCAUACAAAGAAAAGGAGGCGUCUUUCCUUAUUGUCCUCCCCAACGAAAUCGAUGGUUUGGCAGCUUUGCAAGAGAAACUGAAGGACCCCACCGCCUUGGACAAGGCUGUUGCUCAGAUGCGCGAGGUGGAAGUCAACGUGCACCUACCCAAGUUCAAGAUUGAAAGUACUAUCAACCUGAAGAAUGUUCUGCAGAAGAUGGGAGUUACCAACCUUUUCGAUGCCUCCAAGGCCAGGUUGGACAACCUCUUGAAGAACGAGAACGGUCUCUUCGUCAGUGAUGCCAUCCAGAAGGCUUUCAUUGAAGUCAACGAGGAAGGAGCCGAAGCAGCUGCGGCUAACGAAUUCGGAGUAGUUUACGCAAUGCUGAAACCAGAAAUUUCUUUUACUGCCGACCGGCCCUUCCUAUUCUUCUUAAACGCCGGCUCAAGCACUUUAUUCAGCGGGACCUUCUUUCCCUAAAAUACGGCGUAGUAAUGCUGAGUGCGCGCCUCGGAUAUGAUUUCAUGGCGGACUCGCCUUUUAUUUACUUCAUAAGAAUCAGAGCAGUGAAUAUCUUUAGCGGUGCCUUUCAAACUUAGAAUUUGUUGGGUAUGGUUCAGCUCUAGUACCGCCACCUUCUAAGACCUUUACAGUGGACAAA
rnacentral:misc_RNA from 1 species